CGCGUAGGUGGCUCAUUAAGUGGCUGGUGAAAUCCCGGGGCUCAACUCCGGGGCUGCCAGUCAGACUGGUGGGCUCGAGCACGGUAGAGGCAGAUGGAAUUCCCGGUGUAGCGGUGGAAUGCGUAGAGAUCGGGAAGAAUACCAGUGGCGAAGGCGUUCUGCUGGACCGUUGCUGACACUGAGGCGCGACAGCGUGGGGAGCAAACAGGAUUAGAUACCCUGGUAGUCCACGCCGUAAACGAUGGGCACUAGGCGUCGGGGGGAGCGACCCUCCCGGUGCCGUCGCUAACGCAGUAAGUGCCCCGCCUGGGGAGUACGGCCGCAAGGCUGAA
rnacentral:rRNA from 1 species